rnacentral:rRNA from 1 species
UACAGAGGUCUCGAGCGUUGUUCGGAUUCAUUGGGCGUAAAGGGCGCGUAGGCGGCGGGGUAAGUCUGGUGUGAAAUCUCGGAGCUCACUCCGAAAUUGCACUGGAUACUGCUCUGCUAGAGGGCUGGAGAGGAGAUCGGAAUUCACGGUGUAGCAGUGAAAUGCGUAGAUAUCGUGAGGAAGACCAGUGGCGAAGGCGGAUCUCUGGACAGCUCCUGACGCUGAGGCGCGAAGGCUAGGGGAGCAAACGGG